rnacentral:lncRNA from 1 species
GUGAUGGAACAAUCUCCAGGGCCCGAUAAGCCACCCUGACCUGGGGAGGUUGGAAACGUAACUCCUGUCGGAGUUCCAGCCCCCACGUGGGUGUGAGCAAGCAGGCAGCGCACUGCGGCUUGGGACCAUCUGGGCUGGAAUUGCAGCACCAGCGCUCUCUAGCUCUGCAACUGUGGGAGCACCCCUAAGCUAUGUUCGGCCUUUGUACUGAGAGAGGAAGUUGCAUCUUUGGGUGGACACAGCCUGUGGCUCCUGUUGUACAAAGGGCCAGGCCCAGGAGAAGAAUGGAUUGGAGAAGGGACACCAUGUUUCACAGCUGUGACAUUUGCCAUCGGGCCUCAGGACACCCAAUGGCAGAGGUACCGUUACUGACUUUUACAUUGAUUGGUGCGUUAGUGUUCUUGGAUGUUCCUCCCCCAGCAUCCUCCAAUGCAUGUCCAUCACUGUGCGUCCUGCUUCUGCAGCCAUCCGCUCUUCUCUCUCAGUCUCCGGAACUGCCCUGCCCUCCCUGUGCAGACUCUAAAUGUCAGGGUGUCUUAGCAUCCCCCACACAGUUCAUGUGGAUGAAGUGA